UGACUUUGUGCUAACCAUUGUGCAAAUGUUAUAAUGACACGACACGACACGACCCGAACCAUUGCCACCCCUAUAAUUAUUGAUGCAUAUAAAUGUUUACCUUAUUGAAACUGACACAUACACAGAGUUGGUUCCAAACUUCCAAUAUAUAGUCGAAGUUACCUACACAUGAUUAUUGUAUUGUAUUAGUAACUCAGUACACCAAGUCGAUCACCAAGACAUUUUAACAACUUCCAGCCAUAUUCAGCAACUUCAUCCAACCCUUUCCAUUUAAACUGAAUCAGACCCCUUGAUUUUGGAGUCAAUUUUCUUCUCUAUCUCUUCAAUCUUCUUUAUUUUUUCUUCCUUGCCUUUACUUAUCUCCUUUUCCACUUCUUCUAUCUACAAAACCCAAAUCAAAAUUAAUAUAUAUUUAAUUGUCUUAACAAGGACACAUAACUGAUAAAGAUUAAUGUUAUUCAUAAGAAUAUAAGAUGACCCAAAAGAGAAACUUAAUUAACCUUCACUGUGGUUGUAAUAGGUGGCCGGACUCCAUGCACAGCUGCACGGUCAGUGUUCUUGAUAGCCAUAUGCCUCGUAUGGUUCGGACCUAGACUAUGAGCUGCACGAGCCCUUGACCACACCCCAUUAGUUAUGGAUCUCCUAAUCAUUCUAUUCUUUCACUGCACUAGACAAGUUUCACAGCCAGCCUUUUGGUUUAACAAGUUCAGAAGAAUUAGAUUGAUAUGAAUCUCAA
rnacentral:lncRNA from 1 species